rnacentral:misc_RNA from 1 species
GAUGAAGAACGUAGUGAAAUGCGAUAAGUAGUGUGAAUUGCAGAAUUCAGUGAAUCAUCGAAUCUUUGAACGCACAUUGCGCCCUUUGGUAUUCCUUAGGGCAUGCCUGUUCGAGCGUCAUUUAAACCUUCAAGCUCAGCUUGGUGAUGGGCGACUGUCCCCCCCCCUCGCGGGGGGGACUCGCCUCAAAAACAUUGGCGGCCGGUACAUUGGCUUCGAGCGCAGCAGAAACGCGGUCUCGAGCCCGGUGGAUCGGCUCCCAUAAGCCUAUUCUUUUAUUUUGACCUCGGAUCAGGUAGGGAUACCCGCUGAACUUAAGCAUAUCAAUAAGCGGAGGA